CUUUCAUGUUGCUAUCAGGUGAUUGAUGAAAUUAUUUUUCAAUGAGAGGUGAGCAGACCGGUAGGGAUGUGUGGACUAUCUGACAGGUGAAGAGUCAAGCGGCCACGAUCUUAUAAAACUGUCCCAGUCAUGCUUGUCUCAUGCACAUGUCCAUGCAAUUAUUCAAGUUAAGCAAUUAAUAUAAAUGAUUUAAAUUCAGUUUCUGGUGGCACACAUUUCAGCCCAUACAGUCGGUCCAAGACUGGAUGUAUCUGGUAAAUGUCUUUAAUUUAAGCUAGGCUAUGAAAUUAUUACUAUGCUAACUUAACUUAACUGACUUAACUUAAUUUUAUUUGAUUUAAUUAUUCUCAUCUAACACUAGUCCAUAUUCAUAUCUGUGCCAUUUCAAUAUAUCUGUCAUACAGAGGCUGUUUGCCCCCUCCUCUCCCAGUGUUUUCCUGUCAUUUCCCCUCCCCUUGUGUUUAUGUCUGUCUUGUUGAUCUUUCUCUGUGUGUAUGUAUGUCGCUGGGCGAGGCCUCCAGUUUCCCUCUCACCUGCCAAAUCACCUCACCACCUGUGCCUCAUCUGCCAAUCAACCUCCGCUACAUAAAAGACUGGCUCAACCUCCCAGACUCUGCCAGAUUGUUCAUUCUCCCUCGCCGUAACAAACUACGACCAACUCUAGUGUUUGUUUAGUAUUAUUCUCGUUGAACCCUAGUCGAACCAUGAUCUCUUUGUACUCCAGGGAAAUCCUCUCUGCGACUCACCAGUUACGACCAGCCCUGUCACGUCUCAACACCUGCACCUUGGAUUUCUACCACCACCAGCCCUGCACCAUUGAGGAAACGUCCUUACUGGAGCUCCAUCUUCACUGCACCAGUCUGUUUGUGAACUCAAUGAACCUGAUUCAGUUCUCUGUGACAGCUGGAGAUAGACAGGAAAUUCAGCAGGAGAGAGGAUGAGGAUACGAUGCAGCAAACGACACAGACUGGAAACGAACCUGUGUCACUCCGGUGCAUCUCAUGAGGCUUGGAUCAUUUAACACUGCUGGCAGCAGAGUGAAAAUAAGCGGCUCCUACAUUAUGACUUUUACAGGUUUUGUCUCAGAGGUAUUCCAUUUUAAAUGAAGUUCAGGUUUUAGUGGUGCACAAGACAUAAGCACGAGGGCAAAAGGCAAAUUCGUCAUGUGUUGAAGGCGAGGAACGAGCAUGUGAGAAUAAGGGUUGAAAAUAAAAGAUCUGAAUUAAUUAGCCAUCUUUCAACAGUUUCGUGAUAAUCAUUCUCAUGCAUGUGGGAAAGGGGAAAUGAAUUGCUUUCUGAAUAAAUUGGAUUCGCAGAGCUCCGUGGCUCUCUCUCCUUCCAAAAAAGGGUGAGAAUGGGUGUUAUAGAGGGGCGUAAAUUGGCAGUUGCCAGUGUGGCAGCAGUUCAGUGUUGAAUGAUACUGACAUGCUUUUUGACAGCAGGUGAGGUCUGAACUCUGCCAUUGCAGAGGAUCAUCUCUGUUUCUUGUGAAAACCUGCUGUUUCUGUUUUCCUACAAGCAGAAUGGGACUGUUAAAAGCAAAUUUGUUUUGUUAUUUAUUGGUAGAGGCUACAAGACAAAUCAUAAUAUAAAGGUACAUCAUUAUUAAAAAAAAAA